UGUCCUGUCAGGAUCUCUUGUCCCCCGGGGACAGCCACAUUCUCCCACAUGUGGCAGCCCCCUCCCAUCCAUAACUCGAACCUCCAGCUCCGGGAGGACGGAGUGACGGCCCAGCUGAGUGGGAAUCCAGAACUGAAUUCUUCCUGGUUUGUCUUCACAACUCAGUGCCCUUUGUCAGUGGGCAUGAGAGUGAUGAUGCAGAAACGAAGGCACAAACAAAUGAAGUGAAUGUCUCAGCGGCACGUGUUAGCAAGUGAAGAAGCCAGGCCAUUUGGUUUUCGAGCUUCAGCUUUCUCUCUCUCCCCUGAGCUCCAUCCCUCACAGUGUGGGGUGUCCUCCAGCCUCAGGCUCCAUACCCAGCAUGGAGUCCAACAUGGGGCUUGAACACAUGAUCCUGGGAUCAAGAACUGAACUGAGAUCAAGAAUCAGAUGUUCAACUGACUAAACCAUGCAGCCACCCCCAGACUGCCACUUGAACGAGGAAUCCCUGUUGCAAUAAUCUCUUUCACUGUGGUCAUAAGACAGUCUUCUUACAUGCAUUACCUGAAUGGGAGUGAAGAAAGUACUACAGCUUCCAAGAACUUCUCCAAAGCUUCUCAACAAAACCUUCUGAGCACACACUCCAGGGUUGGAUGACACUGUCAUUAAUGGCAAAUUUUUCAUUCCUGAGCCCAUGGCAGACAUAACGUAUGGAUUACAGGACUCCUUCCCACCAAGCCAGAGAAACAGCCCAUCUAUGCAGCAAUCCAAGUAGCUGCAAUCAAUUGGAGUUGGUGCACGCCAAGAAACUUAUUCAACAUUUCAUCUUAUUCCAUGCUGGGCCUGUUGCUAGGAGAUGCAGGGAUGAAUAAUGUGCUAUCUCUGUCCUCAAGUCAAAUAUGGGUAGGGGCUAGGAGUAGGCAAAACUAUGAACACAUAUUUAUAGACAGGUUUCAUAUAAAACCAGGGUUAAAUGUAUGAACAUGGUAUUGUGGAAACACAUAUGAAGCAAUGACUAAUUCCACCUAGAAGUGUGACACAGAAGUGAGUCUUGAAGGAUGAAGAGGACUUGAAUAGGCCAAGCAAGGUGGAAAAAGCAUUCCUGGCAAAGGGACUAACAUAUACUAAGGCUUGAGAUUCAGAAAGCCUUGGAAUGGGUGUAAGGAGGAGAAAAUCUAUACUUGGAGUGGGAAGGACCUCUUUCCUGCAUUUCUCUAAGCGACAGAUAUGUCAUCUGUAAAAAUGAUAAUAGCUCCUACCUCUUAAGAUUGUGUUGAGGAUUGAAUAAGAUAGUGUAUGGAGCGACCUCACACAGUGCCUGGUUCAGUGAAAGGCAGCUCCCAUUGAUGCUUCAGAAUGCUAAUGGGUAUGAAACUGAUCUUUGGCAACUGAGCCAGAAUGGUUUCAAAGUAGAGGAACGUCAUCAGAUUUUUAGAAAUGUCAUAUUUUCCAUGAUUAAAAUACAUAUCUAUUUCAGAAGAGUUGACAAUAUUUUAAAAAGAGAAAGAAGAGGGACGCCUGGGUGGCUCAGCGAUCGAGCAUUUGCCUUAGGUUCAGAGAGUGAACCUGGGGUCUGGGAUCGAGUCCCACAUCAGGUUCCCUGCAUGGAGCCUGCUUCUCCCUCUGCCUGUGUCUCUGCCUCUCCCUCUCUAUGUCUC